UACGAAGGGGGCAAGCGUUGUUCGGAAUUACUGGGCGUAAAGGGCGCGUAGGCGGUUGGAUAAGUCAGCUGUGAAAACCACGGGCUUAACUCGUGGCCUGCAGUUGAGACUGUCUGGCUUGAGUGUGGGAGAGGAGAGUGGAAUUCCUGGUGUAGCGGUGAAAUGCGUAGAUAUCAGGAGGAACACCGGUGGCGAAGGCGGCUCUCUGGACCACAACUGACGCUGAGGCGCGAAAGCUAGGGGAGCAAACAGG
rnacentral:rRNA from 1 species